AGUGAACGCUGGCGGUGGGCCUAACACAUGCAAGUCGAACGGCAGCACAGGAGAGCUUGCUCUCUGGGUGGCGAGUGGCGGACGGGUGAGGAAUACAUCGGAAUCUACUCUGUCGUGGGGGAUAACGUAGGGAAACUUACGCUAAUACCGCAUACGACCUACGGGUGAAAGCAGGGGACCUUCGGGCCUUGCGCGAUUGAAUGAGCCGAUGUCGGAUUAGCUAGUUGGCGGGGUAAAGGCCCACCAAGGCGACGAUCCGUAGCUGGUCUGAGAGGAUGUACAGCCACACUGGAACUGGGACACUGUCCAGACUCCUACGGGAGGCAGCAGUGGGGAAUAUUGGACAAUGGGCGCAAGCCUGAUCCAGCCAUACCGCGUGGGUGAAGAAGGCCUUCGGGUUGUAAAGCCCUUUUGUUGGGAAAGAAAUCCAGCUGGCUAAUACCCGGUUGGGAUGACGGUACCCAAAGAAUAAGCACCGGCUAACUUCGUGCCAGCAGCCGCCGUAA
rnacentral:rRNA from 1 species